CCCGCUGAACUUAAGCAUAUCAAUAAGCGGAGGAAAAGAAACUAACAAGGAUUCCCCUAGUAACGGCGAGUGAAGCGGGAAGAGCUCAAAUUUAAAAUCUGGUUUGCUUGCAAAUCCGAGUUGUAGUCUGAAGAAACGUUUUCCAUGAAAAUCGAGGCACAAGUCCUUUGGAACAGGGCAUCAUAGAGGGUGAGAAUCCCGUCCAUGGUCUCGAAUCUUUCAUUUUGUGAUACGUUUUCUAAGAGUCAGGUUGUUUGGGAAUGCAGCCUAAAAUGGGUGGUAAAUUUCAUCUAAAGCUAAAUAUUGGCGAGAGACCGAUAGCGAACAAGUACCGUGAGGGAAAGACGAAAAGAACUUUGGAAAGAGAGUUAAACAGUACGUGAAAUUGCUGAAAGGGAAACGCUUGAUGUCAGUCGCGUUGGCCGGGGAUCAGCCUUGCUUAAUCGCGAGGCGUACUUCCUGGUCGACGGGUCAGCAUCAGUUUUGACCGUCGGAAAAGGGCUUGAGGAAAGUGGCACUCUCUCGGGAGUGUGUUAUAGACUCGGGUCUUGAAUACGAUGGUUGGGACUGAGGAACUCAGCACGGCCCUUUGGGUAUCGGGGCUUCGGCCCACGUUCGCGUGCUUAGGAUGCUGGCAUAAUGGCCUUAAGCGACCCGUCUUGAAACACGG
rnacentral:rRNA from 1 species